rnacentral:rRNA from 1 species
CCUACGGGAGGCAGCAGUGGGGAAUAUUGGGCAAUGGGCGCAAGCCUGACCCAGCAACGCCGCGUGAAGGAAGAAGGCCUUCGGGUUGUAAACUUCUUUCGUCAGGGACGAAACAAAUGACGUUACCUGACGAAUAAGCCACGGCUAACUACGUGCCAGCCGCCGCCGUAAUACGUAGGUGGCAAGCGUUAUCCGGAUUUACUGGGUGUAAUGUGCGUGUAGGCGGGUGAGCAAGUCAGAUGUGAAAUUCCAGGGCUCAACCCGGGAACUGCAUUUGAAACUGUUUUUCUUGAGUGAUGGAGAGGGAGGCGGAAUUCCGUGUGUAGCGGUGAAAUGCGUAGAGAUACGGAGGAACACCAGUGGCGAAGGCGGCCUGCUGGACAAUAACUGACGCUGAGGUGCGAAAGCGUGGGGAGCAAACAGGAUUAGAUACCCGGGUAGUC